GAUCAUUACAAGAAGACGGCGCCCUCACCGGCGUCGACCUUCAAACCACUGUGUACCAAACCUCGGCUUCUUUCCGCGGGCGCGGCUUGUUCGCGCCCGCGGAGGGGCUCUGGCUGAGAAUUUAGUUGUGUUCGUGCCCGUGUGGGCGCCCCCGUACGCAUUCUAAGGGGGCCCAGGGGGGGCGUUCCGCCGCGCUACAGCUCAUCGCGAGCUCGCGGCCGGGCCGCCAGCCCUCCCCUAAGUUAACGCCGGGAUAAGCGCCCAACGCGGUACGAGCGCCUAACUACAUAACACUGUCGAGAUGGCAUCGUCUGAACCACACAAAAUACAAAAGUACAACUUUUAACAAUGGAUCUCUUGGCUCCGGCAUCGAUGAAGAACGCAGCGAAAUGCGAUAGCUAGUGUGAAUUGCAGAUUUCAGUGAAUCAUCGAGUCUUUGAACGCACAUUGCGCCUCUUGGUAUUCCUCGAGGCAUGCCUGUUCGAGCGUCGUUACGCCCCUCAAGCGCAAGCUUGGUGUUGGGGAUCGCCCCUGAGAUACGGCGGCGGCCCUUAAAUGCAUCGGCGGUGCUGGUCCCAGCCCGGAGCGCAGCAGACAUGCGGCUUCCUGGCGGCCCAGCGCCCGCCGGCCAACCCCACGUAACUACCAAACGUCGACCUCGAAUCAGGUAGGGAUACCCGCUGAACUUAAGCAUAUCAAUAAGCGGAGGAAAAGAAACCAACAGGGAUUGCCUCAGUAACGGCGAGUGAAGCGGCAACAGCUCAAAUUUGAAAUCUGGCGUCUUCGGCGCCCGAGUUGUAAUUUGCAGAGGAUGCUUCGGCGUAGGCGCCGCCCAAAGUUCCUUGGAACGGGACGUCGCAGAGGGUGAGAGCCCCGUGUUCGGGCGGAUGCCUUCGCCGUGUGAAGCUCCUUCGACGAGUCGAGUUGUUUGGGAAUGCAGCUCAAAACGGGAGGUAAAUUUCUUCCAAAGCUAAAUACCGGCCGGAGACCGAUAGUGCACAAGUAGAGUGAUCGAAAGAUGAAAAGCACUUUGGAAAGAGAGUCAAACAGCGCGUGAAAUUGUUAAAAGGGAAGCGCUUGCGGUCAGAACUUGGCCGCCGUUGCUCGGGGAGGUCUCGCGCCUCCCUCGCUCUUCGGCGGCUGGGCCAGCAUCGGUUCGGGCGGCUCGAGAAAGGUCGCGGGAACGUGGCUCCCUCCGGGGAGUGUUAUAGCCCGCGGCGCAAUAGGGCCCGCCUGGACCGAGGU
rnacentral:rRNA from 1 species